GAUGUUGGGUUAAGUCCCGCAACGAGCGCAACCCUUUUCCUUAUUUGCCAGCGAGUAAUGUCGGGAACUUUAAGGAUACUGCCAGUGACAAACUGGAGGAAGGCGGGGACGACGUCAAGUCAUCAUGGCCCUUACGGCCAGGGCUACACACGUGCUACAAUGGUCGGUACAAAGGGUUGCUACCUAGCGAUAGGAUGCUAAUCUCAAAAAGCCGAUCGUAGUCCGGAUUGGAGUCUGCAACUCGACUCCAU
rnacentral:rRNA from 1 species